UCUCUUGCUGGCAUGAGAGCAAUGGAAGUGUCAGUUUGCUUGUCAGAGGCUCCUUUGCCUGGAGCAUAGAUCAGAGCCUGGGUGGCCGUGUGCCAGGCUUCUCUCCAGCACAGAUGGGAAGGCCAGGGGUAAUUACCCUGCCCUGGCCACUUGCCUUCCUGUGUGAAAUUAUAGAAAAGUAGGAGACAGUGUCUCCACCCGAUUCUUAUCCUUCAUCAUUUCCAGGGAAGGGAUAAAGACAAGCACACACCUCGAUCUCAUGCAGGCAGGAAGGCUGCCUGGAACCUCUCCCCUCUAAGGACAGUUUUGGAGGAGGACAAGCCUGCUGUGGAGAAUGGAUAAGACAAGCAUGAGCCAAUGGUAUGCACAGAAGGAGAAGAUAACUCCAAGGUACCAAGGCAGCAAUCGCCACCAGAGUCUCCUGGACCAGAGAAAGAUACUUCCCUAAGUAGAAUGAGCCCACCAGGUCCUCUCAUCAACUACUGCUCGGAACCAUGUUGACAACUCCAGAAACAAACCUAGUUUGUAAAAAAAAAAAAAAAAAAAAAAAAAAAAAAAAAAAAAAAAAAAAAAACCAAACAAACAAAAGACAAAACAAACCCAAAAACGGUGUGUGUCUCCUUUGUCCUAAGGGGGUUUUAAUGAAAGCAAAUGCCUCUGUCCUCUCUUUCACAGAAUCUCAGGACACUGGUCAGAGAGACACUAACUCUGCAUCAUCAUCCUACCUCCUUGAAUCAUUGGGCCCAUUCUAUUAAAGAAAAUUAUUGAAAGAAGGGAACCACAAGUCCUUUGCUCAUCUCGCCUAAUCUUAAACGAUUGUACCCUUUCUAUGUCCCUCAUCCUGACUGUGUAAAGUAAUUUUAAAAAACAAGCAGAAAACAACGAGCAAGCAUGAACUGCUGACAUAAAAUGGAAUCUGAGUAUAGGAGGGUGAGUAAAAUAGAUCUCCCUGAACCCAUAUCGCCACCCCAGAUCGGAA
rnacentral:lncRNA from 1 species